GUUUCCGUAGGUGAACCUGCGGAAGGAUCAUUCAUAAUAAAGUGUUUUAUGGCACUUUUUAAAAAUCCAUAUCCACCUUGUGUGCAAUGUUAGAUCUCGUCAAUCUUGGCGAGAUUUUUAUACAUCAACUCAUUUUUUAACUAAUUUGUCUGAAAAAUAUUAUGAAUACUUAAUUCAAAAUACAACUUUCAACAACGGAUCUCUUGGCUCUC
rnacentral:misc_RNA from 1 species